UCCCGCUUUGAAAGUGGGCAUGAAUCACAAUGUCCCCCGGUACCACCUGCAGUCACACGCAUUAAGAAGCAGACUGGAGCUGUUGCCUGUGUCAAGGACGGCCAGCUCAGGACCUUCAAUUUGAUAAAGAGCAUGUCUGCAUAAAGUUUUCUGCAGGUGUGAAUAGAACUGCAAGCAAAAGCUGGUUAUUUGAAAGAGAUCUGGAUUUGGGUCGAGGAAAUUUGGAAGCCUAUCUUGACACGUCCCUGCCUAAAAUUCAGGAGAGAUGAAGAAGCCUCUAGGACCCUCCUGUUGUCCUGGAUGCACGCAUCAUCUGAUCUGGUUUCUCGUACAACUGAUACAACUCAUACACUUCCACGGAGCAAGAAUUCAAAUAAAGGUGGCAUUGUGAACCAGCACUGAGGAAGUGCAGCAGGCCUUACUAUUCAGUACCCACUGCAAAUGGGAGAGAACAGAAAACAACUGGAAGCACAGACCAUGGAAUCUCUAGGGCAGAAGAAGACUCUCCAGUUUCUGAGAUUGCAAUGCAUUCAGUAGCAGGAAUUCCAACCUUGAUUCUAAAUGAAAUUUUGAGAACUUAGGAAAAAGAAAAUGUAGUAAUGGCUGGCAACCUACUCUGAACAGCCAUUUAGGCUGCUGCUGUUUUGAAGAAAUGCCUAAAUGCCAGAAAGGGAUCACCACCAUCCCUAGACAACCCAUUUUCCAUGUAAAGGCUUAAGAAUUGUCACAGAGGAAUGGAGCAUGGAAAGAGCAAAGAUGUCAGAUAUAACAGUUCCUGGAAGACCAUUUGGCUUGGGCAGUAUUAAGUGAAUCUUCAGUGGUCCUAAGUUGUGUACUAAGUGCAGAAUGGCUCUUGCCCAGCUUCCUGAC